AUGGAUCACGGCCUUAAGAUUGUCGUUUGGAAUGUUCGUGGCCUCAACGCCCGCGCACGGAGAUUUGCUGUUCGGUCACUGCUGGCCUCUACCGAUGCGACCAUUGUUUGUCUCCAGGAGACAAAAAUGGCCAUGAUUUGCUCCUCGGUGAUCCUGGACACUCUUGGUUCAGAGUUCGAUGGCUACGUGUACCUGCCAGCGAUUGGCACGAGAGGCGGCAUCCUCCUCGCCUGGAGGAGCAGGGCCGUGAGCAUCACGGACCCAGAGUUCUCCACGAACGCGAUCACCGCCAAGGUUUCCGCUGGCUCUGCUGCCCCUUGGUGGUUGACGGUGGUUUACGGACCGCAGGAAGACACGGAUAAAAUCGCAUUCCUCCAUGAGCUGCGUGACAUCCGGAGUGCGUGCCAGGGACCCUGGAUGCUAUGCGGGGAUUUCAAUCUAAUCUACCGCGACGAAGACAAGAACAAUGGCAACCUUCAUAGGCGUAUGAUGGGCAGAUUUCGGAGGCUGAUCAAUGAUCUUGCGUUGAAAGAGGUCUAUCUCAAUGGCCGCCGGUAUACCUGGUCGAACGAGCAGUCCCCCCCAACACUUGUGCAUCUAGACAUAAGUGCAGGGAGGAAGCCCAUGCUGCUUGCAACCUUCGCUGCCUCGCUUCUGUGA
rnacentral:rRNA from 1 species